CCUACGGGUGGCUGCAGUGGGGAAUAUUGGACAAUGGGCGAAAGCCUGAUCCAGCCAUGCCGCGUGUGUGAAGAAGGCCUUCGGGUUGUAAAGCACUUUCAGUGGGGAAGAAAGCCUUGGGGCUAAUACCCUCGAGGAAGGACAUCACCCACAGAAGAAGCACCGGCUAGCUCCGUGCCAGCAGCCGCGGUAAUACGGAGGGUGCGAGCGUUAAUCGGAAUUACUGGGCGUAAAGCGCGCGUAGGCGGUCUGAUAAGCCGGUUGUGAAAGCCCCGGGCUCAACCUGGGAACGGCAUCCGGAACUGUCAGGCUAGAGUGCAGGAGAGGAAGGUAGAAUUCCCGGUGUAGCGGUGAAAUGCGUAGAGAUCGGGAGGAAUACCAGUGGCGAAGGCGGCCUUCUGGACUGACACUGACGCUGAGGUGCGAAAGCGUGGGUAGCAAACAGGAUUAGAUACCCGAGUAGUC
rnacentral:rRNA from 1 species